AUGAUUUGAAACAGUUUAUACAUCUAACAGAAUAAUCAUGCAAUGUAAACAAGUAAAGAGAUAGGACAAAGAAAAACUGAGGUGAAAAUUUGACAGCUCAAAAUGAAGCAAAAACUCAAGAUAAAACAGACACCAUUUUGUGCCCACUCAGUCUUCUUUCCAGGGUCAUACAUGUUGCAACAGAAAUUGAAACCAGAAAAUUCUCACAGAACAGAUGCCCUUGCAAUUGAAAAGCACUCCCUCUAAUAAUGCUUGGCAUAAUUUUUGUUAGACCUUCUCCACUGACUGGGCUCUGACAAUUCAGUGUGAUUUGCACCAUCUGGGAGUCACUCCCUCUACACUACACAUUUGAUCCACACACCCUACGCUGGACUACCACAGCCCCCAAAUCGACUCUUCACCCUUGGACCUCCCUAAUGGCUUUUGGACUGAACUUUUUAUGAAGGGAAAUGAAAGAAAAAAAAGGAAA